UUAAAAGCAAUUAAGAGCGCAUGGCGGAUGCCUUGGCUCUCAGAGGCGAUGAAAGACGUGAUAAGCUGCGAUAAGCUUAGGGGAGGAGCAAAUAUCCUUUGAUCCUAAGAUUUCUGAAUGGGGAAACCCAGCUGGUUGAAGACCAGUUACCACUUCGGUGGGGCUAACCCAGGGAACUGAAACAUCUAAGUACCUGGAGGAAAAGAAAACAAUUAGUGAUUUCCCUAGUAGUGGCGAACGAACGGGAAAUAGCCCAAACCAACAUUGUUUCGGCAAUGUUGGGGUUGUAGGACUGCAAUGUGGACUUUAAAAUUGAAGUGGAUAUCUUCUGGAAAGUUGAGCCAUAGAGGGUGAUAGCCCCGUACACGU
rnacentral:rRNA from 1 species